rnacentral:rRNA from 11 species
UGACCGAUAGUGAACCAGUACCGUGAGGGAAAGGUGAAAAGCACCCCGACGAGGGGAGUGAAACAGACCCUGAAACUGGACGCCUACAAGCAGUCGGAGGGCGAAAGCCUGACGGCGUACCUUUUGUAUAAUGGGUCAGCGACUUCGUCUCUCGAGCAAGCUUAAGCCGAUAGGUGUAGGCGUAGCGAAAGCGAGUCUUAAUAGGGCGACUGAGUUCGAGGGAUGAGACCCGAAGCCGGGUGAUCUAGCCAUGAGCAGGUUGAAGGUGCAGUAACAUGCACUGGAGGACCGAACCCACGUCUGUUGAAAAAGACGGGGAUGACUUGUGGCUAGGGGUGAAAGGCCAAUCAAACUCGGAAAUAGCUGGUUCUCCGCGAAAUCUAUUUAGGUAGAGCGUCUCGUGAAUACCCAUGGGGGUAGAGCACUGGAUGGGCUAGGGGGUCCCAACGACUUACCAAACCUAACCAAACUCCGAAUACCCAAGAGUACUAUCCGGGAGACAGACGGUGGGUGCUAACGUCCAUCGUCAAAAGGGAAACAACCCUAACCUACAGCUAAGGUCCCCAAGUCAUAGUUAAGUGGGAAAGCAUGUGGGAUUGCUUAGACAACCAGGAGGUUGGCUUAGAAGCAGCCAUCCUUUAAAGA